AUUUUGGUAGAGUGGUUGUUGUGUAUUGGGGUUUUGGUUUAAUGGUAGAGGACUUGCCGGGAGCUUGGUCAUCAUAAAGAAUCAAGGAAUUUUUUUUUUCUUAAUCAUACUAAAACCAGUUUUGCUUGGAGGUUAAACUUGCAACAUCUCUAACCAUGUGGAAGGCAGUUUUUUGUUGUUGUUGUUUUGUUCAUUUUUUGGUACUGGGCAUUGAACCCAGGAGUGCUCUGCCACUGAGCUACAUCCUCAGAACUUCUUAUUUUUUGAGAUAGGGUCUCACUGAGUUGGGCACUGUGGCCAUAUACUUUUAAUUCUCCUGUCUCAGUCUCCUGAGUUGCUGGGAUUACAGGCAUGUGCCCCUGUUCCCAGCUAGAAGGCAGCCUUAAAUCAAGAACAUAAUUAUAUUUUGUACAUUGCAGUGGUCUUUUUUACUCACAAUAUGAUUUAGAUACUAUUUUUAUCUCUAACAAGUAAAAUGGGCUUCAGAAGUUGGCAGAAAUGUCCAAGAUCACAAAGCAUAGGCACCCAAGGUCACAAAGUAGAUAUGCAACAGGACAAACCUUGAAAUUCUGACCUUCUGAUCCUGAAUGGGUUUGUUUCUUACUUUUUUCCAUAGUAUAUCUGUCAGGGUUUUCUAGAAAACCCAUAUGAUACAGAUAGGUUUAUUUGAAGGAGUUGGCCUGAAUGACUGUGGGGUCUGGCACAUCUAAAAUCUAUAGAGCUGAGAGCUGAGGAUGUAGCUCAAUAGUAGACACUUGUUGAGCUUGGGAAAAGCCCUGGGUUUGAUCUCCAGGACUGCAAAAAAAUAAAUACAAUAAAGUCAACUGAUUAUAAAUAUAUAUAUA
rnacentral:lncRNA from 1 species